CAAAUUCAGAGUAAUUGAGAGAUUAAAUUAAGAAGAAAGAUUUGUAGCAGAGGGAGGAAAACACCAUAAUUCAAUGGCAUUUCAACAAUUGAGCAAGUCUCAUGCCAAAUAUCAUCCAAAAAAAAUUUUCAACAAGCACAGAGAAAAUGAUAGUACAUUUGCACCUAAAAGAAGGCGACACAGUGAAAAUGAAAACCAAAAGGGGAUAGUGUCUAUGCUAACCCUGGUAUGUUCUCUCGUCUAUCUUCGUUUUUGCACAUGCAAACGGAUACAAACUAUAAAAAAAAAAAAAAAAGUAGAAAUGCAACUAGUAAUCUACACAUCUACAUGAUCCAGGCCUUGCCAGACAUCUAAUACCGUCCAAUGAAACAAAUGAACAAUGAAGCACCCAAAUGUAAAGGGUUAUGCAGGCCUUAGCAUCUUACAAUAUAGACACUUAAUUUAGUAUGUCACACUUAAUUCAGUAUGUCGAUUGUAAUGAAACAUGUUUGCCCCAAUACUGAUGUGGAAAAGGGCGUGCUAUAUCAGUCUUUAAGUUACGGUAGCUGUGUGAACUUCAUUGAGUUCCUGUUAAUUCAGAUGCAUCCUUGCAUCAAGUCUUCAGCAGAUACCAUCAUCUGUUUCCAAGAUGGUGUGAGCGGCAUGAAAUGGUAUGGUUGCAAGGACAUUAGUUCCUUGGAACAUCAUCCAGGUGCACUCAUUUGAGUCAUUGUUGCCACACGUUGCACAUAACUCCAUCACCAAAGUCCAUGAUGCAGACCUCCCAAUAUCCUU
rnacentral:misc_RNA from 1 species